rnacentral:rRNA from 1 species
CGUUAAUCGGAAUUACUGGGCGUAAAGCGUGUGUAGGCGGUUCGGAAAGAAAGAUGUGAAAUCCCAGGGCUCAACCUUGGAACUGCAUUUUUAACUGCCGAGCUAGAGUAUGUCAGAGGGGGGUAGAAUUCCACGUGUAGCAGUGAAAUGCGUAGAUAUGUGGAGGAAUACCGAUGGCGAAGGCAGCCCCCUGGGAUAAUACUGACGCUCAGACACGAAAGCGUGGGGAGCAAACAGGAUUAGAUACCCUGGUAGUCCACGCCCUAAACGAUGUCAACUAGCUGUUGGGGCCGUUAGGCCUUAGUAGCGCAGCUAACGCGUGAAGUUGACCGCCUGGGGAGUACGGUCGCGAGAUUAAAACUCAAAGGAAUUGACGGGGACCCGCACAAGCGGUGGAUGAUGUGGAUUAAUUCGAUGCAACGCGAAAAACCUUACCUACCCUUGACAUGUCUGGAAUGCCGAAGAGAUUUGGCAGUGCUCGCAAGAGAACCGGAACACAGGUGCUGCAUGGCUGUCGUCAGCUCGUGUCGUGAGAUGUUGGGUUAAGUCCCGCAACGAGCGCAACCCUUGUCAUUAGUUGCUACGCAAGAGCACUCUAAUGAGACUGCCGGUGACAAACCGGAGGAAGGUGGGGAUGACGUCAAGUCCUCAUGGCCCUUAUGGGUAGGGCUUCACACGUCAUACAAUGGUCGGGACAGAGGGUCGCCAACCCGCGAGGGGGAGCCAAUCUCAGAAACCCGAUCGUAGUCCGGUUCGCAGUCUGCAACUCGACUGCGUGAAGUCGGAAUCGCUAGUAAUCGCGGAUCAGAAUGUCGCGGUGAAUACGUUCCCGGGUCUUGUACACACCGCCCGUCACACCAUGGGAGUGGGUUUCACCAGAAGUAGGUAGCCUAACCGUAAGGAGGGCGCUUACCACGGUGGGAUUCAUGACUGGGGUGAAGUCGUAACAAGGUAACCGAAGGG